rnacentral:rRNA from 1 species
AUACGGAGGAUCCGAGCGUUAUCCGGAUUUAUUGGGUUUAAAGGGUGCGCAGGCGGCCAUUUAAGUCAGCGGUUAAAUCGUGGGGCUCAACCCCAUUCUGCCGUUGAUACUGGGUGGCUUGAUUGCGGUCGAGGUUGGCGGAAUUCGUUGUGUAGCGGUGAAAUGCAUAGAUAUGACGAAGAACACCGAUUGCGUAGGCAGCUGACCAGACCGCAAAUGACGCUCAUGCACGAAAGUGCGGGGAUCGAACAGGAUUAGAUACCCUGGUAGUCCGCACAGUAAACGAUGAAUACUUGUUUUCGGCGAUAUAAUGUCGGAGGCAAAGCGAAAGCGAUAAGUAUCCCACCUGGGGAGUACGCCGGCAACGGUGAAACUCAAAUGAAUUGACGGG